UACAGAGGUCUCAAGCGUUGUUCGGAAUUACUGGGCGUAAAGCGUGCGCAGGCGGUUGUGCAAGACCGAUGUGAAAUCCCCAGGCUUAACCUGGGAACUGUCAUCCGAUACUGGAUGGCUUGAAUUCGGGAGAGGGAUGCAGAAUUCCAGGUGUAGCGGUGAAAUGCGUAGAUAUCUGGAGGAACACCGGUGGCGAAGGCGGCAUCCUGGACCAAUACUGACGCUGAGGAGCGAAAGCCAGGGGAGCCAAACGGG
rnacentral:rRNA from 1 species